ACAAAGGAUGGAAAUUCUGGUGAGGACUUCAACAAGGAUUCCAUUGAGCGUGAUGAAAGACGGCUUACAGAAUUGGGUCGCAGGACAGUGGAAACAUUUGUCCUUGCUCAUAUUUUCAACCACAAAGUUGAAGUUGCUUACCAGGAAGCUGUUGCUUUGAAGAGGCAGGAAGAGCUAAUCCGUGAAGAAGAGGCAGCAUGGCUAGCUGAAAGUGAGCAGAAAUCUAAACGUGGAGGAACUGAGAAGGAAAAGAAAUCAAAGAAAAAACAGGCAAAACAAAAACGGAAUAAUCGUAAAGGGAAGGACAAAGGGAGGGAUGAAAAAUCCAGUGCAGCAGUAUUAGACAAGCAUCAAGAGGAAAAUCUAAGUAGUGAGAAAAAGGAUUCAAUUAUCGUAGUAGAGGUGCAGCCUGUGGUGGAAAAGCCUGAUAUUCUGGAAGAUGUGUCUGAUGUGUCUGACUCAGUGGAUGGUGUUGCUGAAGUGCUCCAGCCCGAUUCAGAAGACAGAGAUGCAAGUCCUGUUAAUUGGGAUACUGAUACUUCAGAAGUUCAUCCUUCUACAGAAGCCUGCAGCAGUGGAGUUAGUGGAUUAUCAUCUAUACCAAAUGGAACAGCUGAGAAAAGGAGCACAAAUGCAAUGGAUGACAGUUCAUCAACUUGCUCUACAGAUUCAGUCCCAUCAGUUGUUAAUAAUGGCUCUUAUAAGGGGAGCUCUUAUUCAAGCUACCAAUUUGUAAAAUCACCUAGCAGAGAGAAGCACCCUCGAGGUAAGGGGACAAGCGAUUUGAGUUGGACAACUGAGAUGGAUAAUCAGCUUUCUGUGCCUCCAGUAGAUGUUGGGGAUCUCAAUGAGGUUACUGGAAUUAGCAAAUCUGUUGAAUGCGAGCCCGAAGCUAUUGUUCAUGUCUCACAAGAUAGAAUAACAUGGACCGAGCAGCCUGUAGUUAAGAAGGUUGUGGAAGAAGUUUUACCGCAAAAGAAACUCGGCACUAAAGACUUGGUUGAUGUGGAAAGGUCCUCCAAAGAAACAGCAAUGACUAUCCCAUC
rnacentral:misc_RNA from 1 species